GUUGUUAACGCAACACUGAUGAGGCCGAAAGGCCGAAACUCCGUAAGGAGUCUGUUGCGUUAACAAC
rnacentral:misc_RNA from 2 species